rnacentral:tRNA from 1 species
ACUCGCUUAGUAUAACGGUAGUGCUAGUCCUUUACACGGACUAAGCGGUGGUUCGAUUCCUCCAGCGAGUA